rnacentral:ncRNA from 1 species
AAAUAAGAGAGUUUGAUCCUGGCUCAGGAUAAACGCUGGCGGCGCACAUAAGACAUGCAAGUCGAACGGACUUAAUCGAUUCUUUUAGAUUCGAAGCGGUUAGUGGCGGACUGGUGAGUAACACGUAAGCAACCUGCCUAUUAGAGGGGAAUAACAGUGAGAAAUCACUGCUAAAACCGCAUAUGCCGUGAACAUCGCAUGAUGAAAACGGGAAAAGAGCAAUCUGCUAAUAGAUGGGCUUGCGUCUGAUUAGCUAGUUGGUGUGGUAAUGGCAUACCAAGGCAACGAUCAGUAGCCGGACUGAGAGGUUGAACGGCCACAUUGGGACUGAGAUACGGCCCAGACUCCUACGGGAGGCAGCAGUCGGGAAUAUUGCGCAAUGGAGGAAACUCUGACGCAGUGACGCCGCGUAUGGGAAGAAGGUUUUCGGAUUGUAAACCAUUUUAGACAAGGAAGAAACAAGACAGUACUUGUAGAAUAAGCUCCGGCUAACUACGUGCCAGCAGCCGCGGUAAUACGUAGGUAGCAAGCGUUAUCCGGAUUUAUUGGGUGUAAAGGGUGCGUAGACGGGAAGGUAAGUUAGUUGUGAAAUCCCUCGGCUCAACUGAGGAACUGCGACUAAAACUGCUUUUCUUGAGUGCUGGAGAGGAAAGUGGAAUUCCUAGUGUAGCGGUGAAAUGCGUAGAUAUUAGGAGGAA